rnacentral:lncRNA from 10 species
AGUCCUGAGUCGUGCCACCAAAGUUGGCUGACACGUCAAGAUGCCCUGGGCUUUGUCUGCAGGUGCUGGAGCCACAGUAACGAGGAGUCCUUCAGCCCCUGCUCCUUGGCCUGGCUUUACCUGCACUUGCGGCUUCUCUGGGGUGCUAUCCUGCACUCAGCCCUGAUCUACUUUCUGGGAACCUUUCUGCUAUCCAUAUUGAUCGCCUGGACUGUGCAGUAUUUCCAGUCUGUCUCAGCAAGCGAUCCCCCUCCAAGACCAUCCCAGGCCUCCCCAGACACUGCCACGUCCACUGCAAGUCCAGCUGUGACUCCAGCUGCAGAUGCCUCUGACCAAGACCAGCCCACAGUAACUAAUAACCCGGAGCCACGUGGGUGAACUGUGCACUCCAGUUCUCUCCAGAUGAGAGAGAAUCUUUUCAACAGCUGGUAUUGGGAAGCUGGGGCCAGGGCAUGAUCCUGAUAAACACCUUAAAUGUCUUGUCAACUGGAUGCAAAUUUUGCAAUUGGUGUCAUUUUUUUUAAAGUCAAAUUACAAGGAAGUACCCAGAUCAGGCAGUGGUAAUACCAAAGGUCAUCAAACACAUACAAGGAACAUCUUGAUCAUAGGGCAUGUGGGGAAGUUUACUGGGCCAUCACAGACUUUUGUUCUAGUGAUUGUAUGUAUUAGGAGUCAUAGCAUGCCCUACGGCAGAUCUGGAUUCUUAUACACUAAGAUGUGUCUUAAGAAUCACAGUGCG